UACAGAGGGUGCGAACGUUGCUCGGAAUUACUGGGCGUAAAGCGCGUGUAGGCGGCCUGUUAAGUCGACUGUGAAAGCCCAUGGCUCAACCAUGGAAGUGCGGUCGAUACUGGCAGGCUGGAGUCCCGGAGAGGGUGGUGGAAUUCUCAGUGUAGAGGUGAAAUUCGUAGAUAUUGGGAGGAACACCGGUGGCGAAGGCGACCACCUGGACGGGUACUGACGCUGAGACGCGAAAGCGUGGGGAGCAAACAGGAUUAGAUACCCCCGUAGUCC
rnacentral:rRNA from 1 species